rnacentral:rRNA from 1 species
UGGGCGACCGUGGUAGUAACAGAGGGUUCGAUUAUGGCUCAGAUUGAACGCUGGCGGGAUGUUUACACAUGCAAGUCGACCGCAGCAAUGGACUUCAUUCAAAGGAGUGGCGAAGGAAACGGGUGAGUAAUAACGGAACGUGCCUAGUAGCGGGGAUAAUCGCAGCGCGAAAGUGAAGCAUUACCGCACACGAUACCCUUCGGGGGAAAGCGGGGACCUUCGGGCCGCACCGCUAGAGUGCUGAUAUCGGAUUAGCUAGUUGGUGGGGUAACGGCUCACCAUACAUUUAUCCAGCUGGUUUGAGAGGACGACCAGCCACACUGGGACUGAGACACGGCCCAGACUCCUACGGGAGGCAGCAGUGGGGAAUUUUGGAUAAAUGGGGAAACCUGAUCCAGCCAUCAUCCUGCGUGCAUGGGCUACCGGGUUAAAGCAUUUUGGUAGGUGAACGGCACGGGAUAAUACCCUGUAACUGAUUGGUACCCGCAGAAUAAGCACCGGCUAACUACGUGCCAGCAGCCGCGGUAAUACGUAGGGGUGCAAGCGUUAAUCGGAAUUACUGGGCGCAAGCGUGCGCAGGCGGUUCGGAAAGAAAGAUGUGAAAUCCCAGAGCUUAACUUUGAACUGCAUUUUUAACUACCAAUAGAGCCAGAUGUGUCAGAGGGAGGUGAAUCUGCAGGUGAAAUGCGGUGAUACGUGGAGGAAACACCGACGGCGAAGGCAGCCCUGGGAUAACACUGACGCUCAUGCACGAAAGCGUGGGGGACAAGAGAUUAGAUAACCUGGUAGUCCACGCCCUAAAUGAUGCUUGGAAUGGAAUGUUAGCCUUCAGCCUUGGUAGCAGCGACCGUGAAGUUGACCGCCUGGGGGAGUACUGGCUGCAAGACAAAACCGGAAGAAUAGACGGGACCGCAAGUGUGGAGAUGAUGUGGAGAUUGAACGAUGCCCGGAAACUUACCACCUGAGAAUGUUACCUGGAGUCCCGAAGAGAUUUGGAGAGUGCUCGCAAGAGAACCGGAACACAGGUGCCGGUAUAUUGCCGUCAGCUCGUGUCGUGAUGUUAAAGGCCAAGUCCGCAACGAGCGCAACCCUUGUCACGAAGGUACUACAGGCGGGGCACUGACGAGACUGCUGGUGACAAACCGAGGAAGGUGGGGAUGACGUCAAGUCCUUCAUAAUUUUAUGUGGUGGAUUCCUACACGUUAUACAAAUGGUCGGGACAGGAGGGCCGCCAACCCGCGAGGGGAGCCAAUCCCAGAAACCCGAUCAGUCCGAUCGCAGGUUCGCAACUCGACUGCGUGAAGUCGGAAUCGCUAGUAAUCGCGGAUCAGCAUACUGCAGUAGGCGUUCCUCGUGGGUCUUGUACACACCGCCCGUCACACCAUGGGAGUGGGUUUUACCAGAAGCGAACAGCUUAACCGCAAGGAGGGCGAUUACCACGGUAGGAUUCAUGACUGGGGUGAAGUCGUAACAAGGUAG